rnacentral:rRNA from 1 species
UACGGAGGGUGCGAGCGUUGUCCGGAAUCACUGGGCGUAAAGGGCGCGUAGGCGGCCUGAUAAGUAGGGGGUGAAAUCCUGCGGCUUAACCGCAGGGCUGCCUUCUAAACUGUCAGGCUCGAGCACAGUAGAGGCAGAUGGAAUUCCCGGUGUAGCGGUGGAAUGCGUAGAGAUCGGGAAGAACAUCGGUGGCGAAGGCGGUCUGCUGGGCCGUUGCUGACGCUGAGGCGCGACAGCGUGGGGAGCAAACAGG